CCAGGAAAAUGUCGCAAAUGUCGAAACUCCCAAGCGGUAUAAAAAUGUCCCGCCUUCGGAAACCUCGUGCAUUUUGAACGACACCCCAUUCACAACGCCAGAUUAGUAGCCUACAAGAGGGACUAGUUUUUAGGGAUGGCAAACCUACCGCCUCAAAUCUUGAGGGUGUCGAAAUACUGUAUGGUAGUCGCCGGUACGUGGAGGCUGUCGUUGGCCUCUCGUCACGAAGUCCUCCAAAAGAUCUAUAGCCUUUACUCGGCAUGUGCUAGAGCCUACUUCCCCAUAAUGCUGACGUCCAUGUGCCUCCAAACCGUGCGUGAAAAGUCAACCAAAAGCACAGAAGAAAUGUUCCGGAUACUGUCCUACAUUAUACUUCUGUUUAUCGUGCAGAUAGCUUCGCUCAUGUGCCAGACAGGCAAGUUCCAAAAGGUUCUGGUACGAGUCGCGAGCGAGGAACGAUCCAUACUAAAUUCCUGCGACUGGAACCUGCUGCGAUUCCAUUCGCGGCGAGCACAAUUUUGCAGAACUUUCAACCUGAACAUUUUAUUCAGCACCAGCGGUGCGGUCGUUUGCAUCAUUCUGGAGAAUUGGUUCCUGCGACGCUCGAUCGACAGGCACAACGUCCUCUACAACGAGUCACAGGAUAAACCUUUUGCCAUAGGCCUGUAUAGCCAUUCUUUAGAUCGCGAGAGACACGCCACUCUCCUCGUUGCCAUAAACGAUCUUUGUCUUUGCAUGAAUACGUUCGCGGUGGUGUCUACCAAGAUCGUCUUUAUUUCCUGCAUGAUAUUCGCGCCAUCGAUGCUGAAAAAGUUGCAGAUUGAGUUCUCGAAGCUAAACCACAGGGACAGCGACGUGGUGAGCUGCUUGAAAAUGCUCGUCGUCGAUCACCAGGAGGUCGUCGGGUUCGUCGAGACUAUGAACGGGUCGGUGAAGUACCUGAUCCUUCUGGAGUACCUCUUGAACUCUCUCAAUUUCGCGGUGGUGUCGUUGCAGUUCAUUUCGUUUGAAACGAAGUUGCUGCCAUCGCCCAUACUUUUCUUUUACACCCUGCUGGUGCAAACGUUCGUGUUGGGCUGGAGCGCGAACGAGAUUCAAGUCCAGGGUACAAGAGAACGUCAGUUUGCAAGUUGUUACCCUUUGGAUUUUGAUGCUAGCGUGGUUCUUACAGAGCUUAGCCAUUGCCGAUGCCUUGUACGAAUCUUUAUGGUACGAGUACACUGAACGAGCGAAAAAAAUGCUGCUCAUCAUGAUGAUGCGGGCUCAGAAACCUUUGGCGCUGACGAUAGGGCCAUUCGACGCAAUGAAAACUGGAUCGGCUCUAGCAAUAAUGAAAGCUUCUUAUUCGUACGUCACGGUCAUGAUAGACGGUUGAGAAUUUCAACUUUACAGGCUUUGUGUAAUGGCGUAUUGAUUAAUAAAUGUGUAUUAAAAAAAGCUCUAUCAC